rnacentral:misc_RNA from 1 species
GAUUAAGAACGCAGCGAAAUGCGAUAAGUAAUGUGAAUUGCAGAAUUCAGUGAAUCAUCGAAUCUUUGAACGCACCUUGCGCUCCUUGGUAUUCCGAGGAGCAUGCCUGUUUGAGUGUCAUUAAUAUAUCAACCUUCUCUUUUUUGAGUUGUUUGGAUGUGGGGGUUUGCUGGCCUCUUAAAUGAUUCAGCUCCCCUGAAAUGCAUUAGCAGAACAACCUGUUCAUUAGCGUGAUAAUUAUCUAUGCUAUUGAAUGUGAGGGCAGUUCAGCUUUCUAACCGUCCUUGGACAAUUCAUCAUUAAUGUGACCUCAAAUCAGGUAGGACUACCCGCUGAACUUAAGCAUAUCAAUAAGCGGAGGA